rnacentral:tRNA from 1 species
GUGGCCAUAGCUCAAUGGCAGAGCGCCUGACUGUGGAUCAGGAGGUUGCGGGUUCGACACCCGUUGGCCACC